UACGUAGGGUGCAAGCGUUGUCCGGAAUUAUUGGGCGUAAAGAGCUCGUAGGCGGUUUGUUGCGUCGGCUGUGAAAUCCCGAGGCUCAACCUCGGGUCUGCAGUCGAUACGAGCAAACUAGAGUGUUGCAGGGGAGACUGGAAUUCCUGGUGUAGCGGUGAAAUGCGCAGAUAUCAGGAGGAACACCGGUGGCGAAGGCGGGUCUCUGGGCAACAACUGACGCUGAGGAACGAAAGCCAGGGGAGCAAACGGG
rnacentral:rRNA from 1 species